AUUGAACGCUGGCGGCAGGCCUAACACAUGCAAGUCGAACGGUAGCACAGAGAGCUUGCUCUCGGGUGACGAGUGGCGGACGGGUGAGUAAUGUCUGGGAAACUGCCCGAUGGAGGGGGAUAACUACUGGAAACGGUAGCUAAUACCGCAUAACGUCGCAAGACCAAAGUGGGGGACCUUCGGGCCUCACACCAUCGGAUGUGCCCAGAUGGGAUUAUGCUAGUAGGUGGGGUAAUGGCUCACCUAGGCGACGAUCCCUAGCUGGGCUGAGAGGAUGACCAGCCACACUGGCACUGAGCCACGGUCCAGACUCCUACGGGAGGCAGCAGUGGGGAAUAUUGCACAAUGGGCGCAUGCCUGAUGCAGCCAUGCCGCGUGUAUGAAGAAGGCCUUCGGGUUGUAAAGUACUUUCAGCGUGGAGGAAGGCGGUGGAGUUAAUAACUUCACCGAUUGACGUUACCCGCAGAAGAAGCACCGGCUAACUCCGUGCCAGCCGCCGCCGUAA
rnacentral:rRNA from 1 species